rnacentral:rRNA from 1 species
GUAUAGAACCUACCUUAUAUUGGGGGAUAGCCCAGAGAAAUUUGGAUUAAUACCCCAUAGUAUGCUGAAGUGGCAUCCUUUAGUAUUAAAGAUUUAUCGAUAUAAGAUGGCUAUGCGUUCUAUUAGCUAGUUGGUAUGGUAACGGCGUACCAAGGCUACGAUAGAUAGGGGUCCUGAGAGGGAGAUCCCCCACACUAGUACUGAGACACGGACCAGACUCCUACGGGAGGCAGCAGUGAGGAAUAUUGGACAAUGGAGGCAACUCUGAUCCAGCCAUGCCGCGUGCAGGAAGACUGCCCUAUGGGUUGUAAACUGCUUUUAUGGAGGAAGAAACCCCCCGACGAGUCGGGUCUGACGGUACUCUACGAAUAAGGAUCGGCUAACUCCGUGCCAGCAGCCGCGGUAAUACGGAGGAUCCAAGCGUUAUCCGGAAUCAUUGGGUUUAAAGGGUCCGUAGCGGAUUUGUAAGUCGGUGGUGAAAGUUUGCGGCUCAACCGUAAAAUUGCCAUUGAUACUGCAA